GAUGAACGCUAGCGGCAGGCCUAAUACAUGCAAGUCGAGGGGCAGCAGGGGUAGCAAUACUCGCUGGCGACCGGCGCACGGGUGCGUAACGCGUAUGCAAUCUACCUAUUACUGGAGAAUAGCCUUCCGAAAGGAAGAUUAAUGCUCCAUAACAUUACGAUGUGGCAUCACAAUGUAAUUAAAGUUCCGACGGUGAUAGAUGAGCAUGCGUGACAUUAGCUAGUUGGUGAGGUAAUGGCUCACCAAGGCUACGAUGUCUAGGGGCUCUGAGAGGAUUGUCCCCCACACUGGUACUGAGACACGGACCAGACUCCUACGGGAGGCAGCAGUAAGGAAUAUUGGUCAAUGGAGGCAACUCUGAACCAGCCAUGCCGCGUGAAGGAUGAAGGCCCUAUGGGUUGUAAACUUCUUUUGUAUGGGAAGAAACCCUGAUACGUGUAUCAGGCUGACGGUACCAUAAGAAUAAGGAUCGGCUAACUCCGUGCCAGCAGCCGCGGUAAUACGGAGGAUCCAAGCGUUAUCCGGAUUUAUUGGGUUUAAAGGGUGCGUAGGCGGCUUUGUAAGUCAGUGGUGAAAGCCUGUCGCUUAACGACAGAACUGCCAUUGAUACUGCAGAGCUUGAAUAUGUUUGAAGUGGGCGGAAUGUGUAGUGUAGCGGUGAAAUGCUUAGAUAUUACACAGAACACCAAUUGCGAAGGCAGCUCACUAAACCAUUAUUGACGCUGAGGCACGAAAGUGUGGGGAUCAAACAGGAUUAGAUACCCUGGUAGUCCACACCGUAAACGUUGAUAACUCGAUGUGUGCAAUACACCGUACGCGUCUAAGCGAAAGCGUUAAGUUAUCCACCUGGGAAGUACGCUCGCAAGAGUGAA
rnacentral:rRNA from 1 species